UGCAAGUUGAAUUGGUACUUGGAUAAAAAUAAAAUGAUGUAUUCAUUCAAAUUGGGAUAAAGAAGGUCCCAAGAUAUUCCUCAAGAGUCUCCUGGCCACACUGCCAAACACAUCAUAUGUCUGUGCCUCAGAACCUCAGCUUUCACCCUACCUGGUAUAUUCUCCUUCCCUUAUCUGUGUUUUGAGUUUUCUCCUGUCUUUGAGGCCCAAGCAGCUAGCAAUAUCUCAAGAAAAGCAUCUCUGGA
ensembl:lincRNA